AGAGUGAACGCUGGCGGUAGGCCUAACACAUGCAAGUCGAACGGCAGCACAGGAGAGCUUGCUCUCUGGGUGGCGAGUGGCGGACGGGUGAGGAAUACAUCGGAAUCUACCUUUUCGUGGGGGAUAACGUAGGGAAACUUACGCUAAUACCGCAUAAGACCUUCGGGUGAAAGCCGGGGACCUUCGGGCCUGGCGCGGAUAGAUGAGCCGAUGUCGGAUUAGCUUGUUGGCGGGGUAAAAGCCCACCAAGGCGACGAUCCGUAGCUGGUCUGAGAGGAUGAUCAGCCACACUGGAACUGAGACACGGUCCAGACUCCUACGGGAGGCAGCAGUGGGGAAUAUUGGACAAGUGGGCGCAAGCCUGACUCCAGCCAUA
rnacentral:rRNA from 1 species